UAAUUUUAUAAAUGUUUUUCUACAACUUUAAAAGCGCUAGAAGCUAUUUAAUCGAUGUAACAAGAGGAUUAACUCUAUAAAUUGUAAAGUGGUAAAAUAAUUUGUUAUAAGUAAAAGGAGGGCGGAGAAAUAUGACUGAAAUUGCCAAGUUUAUUUUUGCUAUGGUUAUCUUUCUUAAGCUAUUUCUUGUUGCAACAAAUAAUGACGAUGACAGUUGUAAUUAUGAUUAUCAUUGUAUCUACAAAUCAUGGUUGUGCCCAUUUGGUCUUGUGGUGAGAUGUAUAACGCACCAUUGUAAAUGCAUUAAAAUCUUGAACCCAAUAAAUUUUUUCUCCACGUGAAUAUGAUUGAUUGUUAGACCAAAGAGAUUACAUAAAGAGUAGUGAUAUUUGUACAUAUUUUUCUAAACAACUUCCAUGACAACUUUGUUUUUCUCUAUUUUAAUUGGUCAAAAUCAAUAGAAAGAAAAAAAGGUAGAGAGAGAAUAAGAAUAUAAUGCGAGUAUGAGAGAGAAAGUUGUCAAAAAGUUGUUAGAAAUUGGUUGUGCAAAUAUCAUUUCUCUUACAUAAAAGUCAUGUUAGAAUAUUUCAAGAGUUGUCAUUUAGUUAUUGUGUUGACACCCAAUAAUUUCAAGAACAUUGUUCAUUUUAAAUCCAUUUAUAUUAUAAUAUCACACUCAAAAUAAAUGUGUAAGAACCAUUUUCUUCAUCUCUCUAAUUCUCUAAGCUUGCAUUGCUAUUGUUUGAAAGAGGACUUGAGCUUUGUUUUGUAAAUUAGCACAACUGAGAUAGUUUCUAUA